AAAUACCACCCUUUAAUGUUUGAUGUUCUAACGUGGACCCGUAAUCCGGGUUGCGGACAGUGUCUGGUGGGUAGUUUGACUGGGGCGGUCUCCUCCUAAAGAGUAACGGAGGAGCACGAAGGUUGGCUAAUCCUGGUCGGACAUCAGGAGGUUAGUGCAAUGGCAUAAGCCAGCUUGACUGCGAGCGUGACGGCGCGAGCAGGUGCGAAAGCAGGUCAUAGUGAUCCGGUGGUUCUGAAUGGAAGGGCCAUCGCUCAACGGAUAAAAGGUACUCCGGGGAUAACAGGCUGAUACCGCCCAAGAGUUCAUAUCGACGGCGGUGUUUGGCACCUCGAUGUCGGCUCAUCACAUCCUGGGGCUGAAGUAGGUCCCAAGGGUAUGGCUGUUCGCCAUUUAAAGUGGUACGCGAGCUGGGUUUAGAACGUCGUGAGACAGUUCGGUCCCUA
rnacentral:rRNA from 1 species